GACGAACGCUGGCGGCGUGCUUAACACAUGCAAGUCGAACGAAGUGGCGGAUGGGCGAGUACCACGUGAGGAACCUGCCUUUCACAGGGGAAUAACACUGGGCAACCAGUGCUAAUACCGCAUAGUGAAAGAUGGCCUCGCGCCUGAUUAGCUAGUAGGUGAGGUACCGGCUCACCUAGGUGAUGCUCAGUAGCCGGACUGAAGGUUGAUCGGCCGCAUUGGGACUGAGACACGGACCAGACUCCUACGGGAGGCAGCAGUGGGGAAUAUUGGGCAAUGGCGCAAGCCUGACCCAGCAACGACGCGUGAAGGAAGACGGUCUUCGGAUUGUAAACUUCUUUAGACAGGGACGCGGUACCUGUAGAAUAAGCCACGGCUAACUACGUGCCAGCAGCCGCGGUAAUUC
rnacentral:rRNA from 1 species